ensembl:lincRNA 1810012K16Rik RIKEN cDNA 1810012K16 gene
GAGCUGGCAGCCUCCGGGAGGACUCACCUUGAGGUCUCCCAGCGUUAUCCAGCCCCAGGAGGCUGUGGCUUUAACAGUAAAUGGAAAGUACUAGAAUGGUAGUGGUGAACUAUAAGUUCCCUUAUGGGCAGCCUUUUAAAUCAUCUGUUUAUUUGUCUACAGACAGGGUCUCGCAUAGCCCAGGCUUAACUUGCUAUGUGGCUGAGGGUGGUCAGGAACUUCCUAAUCUUCCUACCUCCCCCUUCCAAGAGAAGGAAUUUCAGGAAAUCCAUUCCCAGGAACAUUAUGGAAAAGACAACAAUAUAAGCUGCCGCUGCAGGUUUUAUAGUUCCCAGCGAUAUAUUCCUGAGGCUUUAAUUAGAAGCUCAAAGUGACGCUGGAGUGAGGGCGCAGAGGAAGUCCUGGAUUGGAGGGGGGAAAAAAGCAUCGGUCCAGAGAUCAACCAAGAAAGUGAGUCGGUAAUCUGUAUUCCUACAUGGCUUCUGCCUUGACUUCCUGCCUUCCGUAAAUCUGGAAGAGAAUGCCAAAUAAACCUUUUCCAAGCUGCA